rnacentral:rRNA from 1 species
UACGAAGGGGGCUAGCGUUGUUCGGAAUUACUGGGCGUAAAGGGCGCUUAGGCGGUGUGUCAAGUCAGGCGUGAAAGCCCCGGGCUCAACCUGGGAACCGCGCUUGAGACUGGCACGCUAGAGUUCGGGAGAGGAUGGUGGAAUUCCCAGUGUAGAGGUGAAAUUCGUAGAUAUUGGGAAGAACACCGAUGGCGAAGGCAGCCAUCUGGACCGACACUGACGCUGAGGCGCGAAAGCGUGGGGAGCAAACAGG